UACAGAGGGUGCGAGCGUUGUUCGGAAUUAUUGGGCGUAAAGAGCUCGUAGGCGGUUUGUCGCGUCUGCUGUGAAAACCCGAGGCUCAACCUCGGGCCUGCAGUGGGUACGGGCAGACUAGAGUGCGGUAGGGGAGAUUGGAAUUCCUGGUGUAGCGGUGGAAUGCGCAGAUAUCAGGAGGAACACCGGUGGCGAAGGCGGGUCUCUGGGCCGAAACUGACGCUGAGGAGCGAAAGCGUGGGGAGCGAACAGG
rnacentral:rRNA from 1 species